UACAGAGGUCUCAAGCGUUGUUCGGAUUCAUUGGGCGUAAAGGGUGCGUAGGCGGCGCGGUAAGUCGGGUGUGAAAUCUCGGAGCUCAACUCUGAAACUGCACUCGAUACUGCUUUGCUCGAGGACUGGAGAGGAGAUUGGAAUUCACGGUGUAGCAGUGAAAUGCGUAGAUAUCGUGAGGAAGACCAGUGGCGAAGGCGGAUCUCUGGACAGUUCCUGACGCUGAGGCGCGAAGGCCAGGGGAGCAAACGGG
rnacentral:rRNA from 1 species